rnacentral:rRNA from 1 species
UACGGAGGGGGUUAGCGUUGUUCGGAAUUACUGGGCGUAAAGCGCGCGUAGGCGGACUGGAAAGUUGGGGGUGAAAUCCCGGGGCUCAACCCCGGAACGGCCUCCAAAACUAUCAGUCUAGAGUUCGAGAGAGGUGAGUGGAAUUCCGAGUGUAGAGGCGAAAUUCGUAGAUAUUCGGAGGAACGCCAGUGGCGAAGGCGGCUCACUGGCUCGAUACUGACGCUGAGGUGCGAAAGCGUGGGGAGCAAACAGG